GUCGGAUUAGCUAGUUGGUAGGGUAACGGCCUACCAAGGCGACGAUCCGUAGCUGGUCUGAGAGGACGAUCAGCCACACUGGGACUGAGACACGGCCCAGACUCCUACGGGAGGCAGCAGUGGGGAAUAUUGGACAAUGGGGGCAACCCUGAUCCAGCGACGCCGCGUGUGUGAAGAAGGCCUGCGGGUUGUAAAGCACUUUUAGUGGGGAUGAAAAGCUCAGGUCUAAUAAACCUGGGUCUUGACCUAACCCACAGAAAAAGCACCGGCUAACUCUGUGCCAGCAGCCGCGGUAAUACAGAGGGUGCGAGCGUUAAUCGGAAUUACUGGGCGUAAAGCGUGCGUAGACGGUCAUGUAAGUCGGGUGUGAAAGCCCCGGGCUCAACCUGGGAAUUGCAUUCGAGACUGCAUGGCUAGGGUGCGGAAGAGGGAAGCGGAAUUUCGGGUGUAGCGGUGAAAUGCGUAGAUAUCCGAAGGAACAUCAGUGGCGAAAGCGGCUUCCUGG
rnacentral:rRNA from 1 species